AACGAACGCUGGCGGCAUGCCUAACACAUGCAAGUCGAACGAGACCUUCGGGUCUAGUGGCGCACGGGUGCGUAACGCGUGGGAAUCUGCCCCUCGGUUCGGAAUAACACAGAGAAAUUUGUGCUAAUACCGGAUAAUGACGAAAGUCCAAAGAUUUAUCGCCGAGGGAUGAGCCCGCGUAGGAUUAGCUAGUUGGUGGGGUAAAAGCCUACCAAGGCGACGAUCCUUAGCUGGUCUGAGAGGAUGAUCAGCCACACUGGGACUGAGACACGGCCCAGACUCCUACGGGAGGCAGCAGUGGGGAAUAUUGGACAAUGGGCGAAAGCCUGAUCCAGCAAUGCCGCGUGAGUGAUGAAGGCCCUAGGGUUGUAAAGCUCUUUUACCAGGGAUGAUAAUGACAGUACCUGGAGAAUAAGCUCCGGCUAACUCCGUGCCAGCAGCCGCGGUAAAGUCUAGCA
rnacentral:rRNA from 1 species